GCGGGGAUUGUCGGUCUCCGGUCGGAAGGCGGAGAGAGAAGGAGUGGGAGGAGCGUUGAUGGCUGUCCCGGAGCACCGGGCAGGUGGACACGCUGGGUAUGCCAGGCCUUCCUGUGCGCCAGCCCUCCGCUGGGUUCCUGCCUCAUAAAGGUGACGUUCGGGCCGAGACGUGAAGCAGGCAGACUCUCAGUGUGACUCUCCAUGGGCGAACGGUAUCCAGUGAGCCUGAACAUGAAGGCAACGGUGAUGCUGGCUGCGGGAGUAAGUGGAGAGCCGACACCCAAGUGAGCUCGAGUCUACCCUCUCCGCUCUGUGAGGGACCCCAUCCAGCUCUCCAUAGUGGAACAGGAAAGAAAUCAGUGACAAAGAGAAGCUGCCUGAGCUCUCCUGUUCUACAGAGGGGCAACAAAGGGGUCUGAACCAUCCACUCGCCUCCCUCCGUCCCAUCAGGUAGCUGUGCUUAGAAUACCUGGGGGGCCCCGUACAUGUACAGCACGAGAGGGUCUUGCUUGGGGAUCACACACCAAGCUUUCUGCCAGGGUUUUGACUUCUCCAUGUACUGAAGAAAGCUGCACACCACGCUGUUUCCAGAUACUUCUGCAGAUUCGAUCUAGAAAAAUAAAACAGGGAGAGAGAAUUCACCUUGUGGGAAACACUUACCAAGUGCACUGUGACUAGAUCAAAUGUGAAGCCUGCCUCUGACCUGCUGUCCAGGUAGCAGUCUUUACAGACUUUGCUCCAUUUACCACCAUCAUACUCGAGCUGAGCUUUGUAGUCGGAACACUUCCAACAAACCACCUUAAAUACAAAAGAAGGAUAAAGAAGAGUGACCAAGAUAACAACACAUCCUCAGGUACAGCUGCUGACUUCUUGUGUACUCAGUGCAGAAGGCAGCUGUGUAUCAGACUAAGUACAUCCCCAGAACCCAGGGAGUCGCGUGGACCUGCUGCAGUGCAGCUGUGAUGGGCUCUGCUCCCACGUCCUCCUCACCCCGGCCUCCAGAGGAAGAGCAGCGUCUGAGGCUGGUCUGAGGCUGCAGCAGGCAUGGGCUCUGCAGAAUUCCGCAUGCCUUAAGGGUAACCUCCCCAAGAGAGUACACAUCUUCCCGGCCCCCAGGGCUCUCCUUGUCCGCCUCACCCUGCUUACAACAGGAAACUUCCCAGCACCUCUCUCCACCUCACCCCUUCAUCACAUUUUCACCUAACCUUGUGUCCUGGUUUGGACCACUUCUUCAGCUGUGUGUCUGGCCCUUGCUGCCUUCUGGGCUUGCACUCUCUCACCUCCCUCCAAGCAGCAACCGUAUGUUCUUUAAAAAACGCUCAUCUGUUAUGUUCCUCUUCUAUUUAAAAUCCUCCAGGUUUCCCUUUAUUCUUGGGGUUGGGGGAGACGGCAGGCUAAGUCCAGUGUGACUCCUCCUUUGCCUACUUGCCCCUGCUGCUGUCUUCUCGGACAGUUGCUCUUUGCACUCCAACAGGGCCCUGCCCCUUCUUCUCUCACCUCCACUUUGAAAUUGAGCUUGCUCAUCCCAUGUAUGUUGACUGAAAUCUCAUUUCCUCCAGGAAGAUUCGUCCAAGUUUCAGAAGAACGUGCAUGUCUGCUUUCACUGUGCUGCUAAAAUUCACUGUAUUUUUUUCAUAGCCCUGAUUACAGUUCAUAAAAAAGUUACUUAUUCAGGGGCCGGCGCUGUGGCGUAGUGGGUAAAGCUGCCACAUCCCAAAUGGGUGCUGGCUCAAGUCCUGGCUGCUCCACUUCCGAUCCAGCUCUCUGCAAUGGCCUGGGAAAGCAGUGCAAGACCCAGCUGUGGCCAUUUGGGGAAUGAACAGGCAGAUGGACGGUCUCUUUAUGCCUUUCAAAUAAAUCUUUAAAAAAAGAAAAUCAUGCAGAGAGAGAUUUCCUAUCCAUUGGUUUGCUUCCCAAAUGCCUGCAGUGAUGAGGGCUGUGCUCGGCUGAAGCAAGAAACCAGGAAUUCAAUACAAGUCUCCCACGUCGGUGACAGGGACCCCCGUACUUGAGCCAUCACCUGUUGCCGCCUGGGGUACACAUUAGCAGGCAGCUGAGGUCCUGAGUAUAUGGUUUCUAAAAAUAGACUCAUGUGCUACUGGAUUGUUUCUCUCUCACACUUGGCCAUAAAUCUCCAGCAGAGAUUGUCCCCGAGUGUUUUGCUCACCAAGCAUGCAAUAAACAUUUACAGGAUUCCAUGAGUAAAUGAGCAAUUAUGAAUCAAGUAUACAUUUUUUCUCCACAGUUUAUUUCCCUAUUAUAAGGUAAUUGUUUAUCCUCUCCUAACCCCAGUUUGUAUAGAGGCCCAUAUAAGCCAUGUCGUAGGAAGUCUGUCUACUGAAGGCAACUGUGUAAAUAAUAGAAAUCAUUUCAAGCCAAUGCAAGGACAGAUUGUGGAAGUUCUCCCCUGAGAGAAAAGAUGUCUGCUGUCCAUUUCAUUAUGAUCUGAAACCUGCCUUAUUAGUUUUAGGGAAAAAAGAAUAAAUCUUCAGAACAAGGAACAAUAAGCUAAAAGAACAAUCACUAAAAAUUGCCUUAGACAUAUCAAAAACACAGGGAGGAGUCCUCAGAAAGUUUAUGGAAAAUGCCUCUUAUUAAACUGUGAAAACUAUGCAUGGAUAUCAAGAUUUUUGUGCCAAAACAAAGCAUCUUUGUUUUGUUUUUUUAAAAUGUGAAAUCAUGCCACACUUCCAUGGCAUGUUUUAUGGACUUGAGCGAUUUCUUUGAUUUGCUGGUUCAGUCACCCAAAUGGCCAAAAGAGCUGAAGGUAGGCCAGGCUGGAGCCAGUCCAUCUGGGUGUCCUCCAUGGGUGGCAGGGUACCAGAUACCAGACUGCGAUCCAGUGCUUGCCAAGUUACAGUAGCCGGGAGCUGGAUCGAAAGCAGAGCGUCCAGGACUGUAGGUGGCACUGUGAUACAGGAUGCCAGCAUCCCACAUGGUGGCUUACCAUGCUUCACCACAACACGAGCUCCAAAGCAGACAUCUUUGAAGGCCAUUUUCCACGAAUUUCUUGAAGUACUCUUAUGACUGAAUAUCUAACACCUAUGGUUCUGGGGUUACUCAAGCCUUUAGGAGAAAGGACACAGUCCACGUGCCACUCCUGUCUCAGCCUGAGUGCAUGUUCCUCACUCUUCCCGUGGGACACUCAGCUCCAGGGCCAAUCAACCCAUGAUCAGGUUAUGCUUAGAUGCAGCAGCAUUGCUUUUAAAUGGUACCUGUGGUAUUAACUAGUAGUGAACUGGCAAUUGGAUAAGGAACUUGACGUACAUUGCUACACCCCAAAAUAAGAUGCAAUGAAUACAUAAAAGAAAUGCUGUGAGCUGAAAUAGUAGUGGUAAGUGAAUAAGGCAAACUCGAAGUUUCAGCUGGGCAAUGCUGGCAUUUGGAAGAGGGCCUAAGAACGAAGCCAGUUAGAAAUGAUCAGUGAUCUCAGGAAGUAAGCCACCAUGAACUAGAAUUAAUUUGAAAAACUAAAGUGGCAAAAACUAGCCAGUGUAAUAAGGCAGAUUUGGAAGGAAAACAGUUUUGAAAAUUAAAAAUGAAGGUGCAGGAGGGUGGACCUCUGUGGAGUGCCCGGCUUUUGUCCUGGCUCUGCUGCUUUCACUGUGGUUUCCCACUACCGUGCCUGGGAGGAGUAUCAGCAACACCACCUAGAUUGUCAGGGCGCAGCAAGCCCCAGGCAAACAGCAGACACCACUCAUCACGCCUCAGUUCCUGAGAGACGGCCCAGACACCUCACACAUAGGUGAGUUGUGCUCAGUCCACCAUCUCCCAUCGGAAGCUCUACUGUGGACGUUCAGCUCUUCUCAGAACCAGAGGCUCCUUAGCCUCUCACCUCACCUCUGAGGGCUGGGGGUUGGAGCCUCUGACACUGCUCUUGCCUACAAAAGCCCCCCCUCCCCCCAUCCCAGCACUAUCAUUUCAUCGUCACCCAUCCCGCCCCUAUUCACGCACUGGGGAGUCUAUACAAUGGAUCCCGGUUCUCCACUCUGCCACCACACCUGCUCACAUAAACAUGCACAUGACUGACGUCUCAGGCAGUCAACCAUAGCUGUCCAUCCCUGUGGACACCCACUGUGUCACCACCAGAAAAUGAAGCACAUCUGGCAGGCCAAGCUCACACAUCUCGUCAACAUUUCUAAUUCUCUUGUUGGAACAUAAACAUGACCACACAUCUUUGAACUUAAAGUUCAAACCAACACCCUCUCUCCUACCAAGUCUAGACUUCCUUUACUCAUUACAGUCUGAUGCAAACACCUCGCCUAUUGUCUUCUCAAAAAUGAUGAUUUUUCGGUGGCCAUUAGUUCUCUCAUCAACUUGCUAAUGCCACUUUUCCCCUUACUCAUCUCACUCCUGCCCCAAAACUUUCUGACAGACUCGGAACAAAUCAACCUCACUCUGGAAUACUUAGCAUACUAAUAUUUAAAAGACUGAUUGUAAGAUUGUACUACAGAGUGACAGAGAUCUUCCAUCUACUGGUUCACUUCCCAGUGGGCCCCCUCAGCUGAGGCUGGGUCAGGCUAAAGGCAGGCGUCUGGAAUGCCAUCCAGGUCUCCCAGUUCGGUGGCAGAGGCCCAAGCACCUACAAUCACAGGGGCAUUACCGGGGACCUGGAUGGUAAGCGGAGCAGCCAGGACUCAAACUGGUGCUCCAGAGGGGAUGCCGAUGUCACCAGCAGCAGCCUCACCUGCUGUGCCAUAAGGCCCGCGCCCGCUGCCUCCCACCUUAGGAUUUGCUCUUUCUCACCGCUUCAGCCUAAGCUUAAGUACUGACCCUUCAGUCAGGUAUUCCUUUUUCUCAUUAGAUUCAGUUCCAAAUCUUCCCCUAUUACUAAUCCUCUCCGUCUUCACGGCUGAUUGCUUUCUCACUCCAUCUGUAGUAGAGGGAAACUCUUCUCUUCUAGGCUGAUGGCUGAGCAUCACUUACACACUUACUGAGGACCUCCGUGACCAAGAAAGCUCACUCACAUGUCCAC